rnacentral:lncRNA from 1 species
AUGGCCGACUGUCCUGGAAUCGUUGAGGUCGAUCCUGUUGCCGUCAGCGCUCCGCAGUUCGGCUUUGGAAGGGGUGCUGGUCGUGGGAGGUACUGAAUUGUUAAAAUGUUAGGGGUUUGAGAAAUGACUAUCUUGUUUGGCUCUUAGCUUUGUUAAUCGAAGAGUGCGAAUUUGAUGCUCCUGGUAAUUUUUGGUUAAUCGUUUUGGAUACUGGAAUGCUUUUACAGUUUGUUGUUCUGUUGGUAAUGCUUGAAUUGAAUUCUGCAAACUGUUUGCUCUUUUUCCUGGUUGAUAUAAGAUGAGUCCUACUUUAGAGUCGAAAUGACACUGGUCUAACUCAAUUAUGAUUCAUUAUUUGAGAAUGGAAUAUCAAAUUCUGAGCAUUCGUGGCUUUUGAAUGCUUUGAGUAGCAAUCAAACGCAAAUGCAGGUCAUCCUAACCCAUUUGUACAUGAAAUGUUAUGCUCUAACUCGAACUCAAACUCAAACGUAGCGAACAAUUUGGUUGCUAUACAUAGCUCAGUGCAAAAAGGUUGCACUUUCAAAAAGGCAGUGGCCGAUAGGGUUGCUAUACAUAACUCAGUGCAAAAGGUUGCAGCCUUCGAAAUGCUGCUCCCCUUUUCUUGGUUCAGUUGCUUGAAUUUGCAAUACCGACCAUGUUUAGCAUGUGUAGAUCCUCUUUAAACCUCUCAAGAACGGUGCCCCUAGGUCCAUCAGUUCUUUUCCUGCUCUCCUCGACCCUGAACAACUCCCCAGCAUUCUAUGACUUCUGGGAUUAUCCUGCUGGUCUUCAAAAGGCAAGGGCUGCCGAAUGUGGUGCAGUUGAAGGU